rnacentral:lncRNA from 1 species
GGCUCCCUCCGCCCCCCCUCGAGGAAAUCCGGACUUGACUUUUCGCAGCUGCCAAAGCCAUUAGCUCGCAGCCCCCGGGCAACGGGCCAGGCUGCGCAGCCCCUCGGCCCCGGAGAGCCCUCGCCGCAGCCUUCCUCUCCUCUCACUCCUCCUCUCCAUGCUGCCCUGGCCGCCUUUCCCUUCGCAGGGCGAGCGGCGUCUCUGCCUGCCAUUUCCACGCUCCCCCCGUCGCCCCGGCUCCCGGCCCAGCCUCGCGCCGCAGUUGCCAUGGAAAAAACUCCCAGCCAGAACUAAGCAGGGGAUACGGCCGGGUCACAAGUUCCCCGAACAGACAGGGAGGGCGAGCCCUGGGAACGCGCGUCCGGCGCUUCCCGGCCCGGCUCCUCCUCCCGCACGCACGCACGCAUGCACGCACCGCGCUGCUCCUAGCGACACGGCCAAAUAAAUAACACACGCCGCGGCCCCCGGGGACCCUGCCGUGGGGCUGCCUGCCCCCCCUUUGCCGGCUCCAGCGGGGAGAGGAGGAUGGGGAAACCGAGGCACGGCGCAUCCCGCCCGGACGCCCCGAGCCGGAGGAAGAUGCGGGAGCGUGGCCGGCUUUGCCCAGCAGCCGGGUGCUGGUGAGCACACACAGCCCUGCUUCGUCCCCCGCCACCCUCAUGUUUGCACAGCAAGGGACCAAGCGAGGCGGCACAUCGUGGACCAGCCGCGGCGGUGGCAGCCCCUAUGUAGGGACCGGCCCCGGAGCGAGGGACCGGAGUGGCCCCCAGCCUGCCUGGGUCCCCGGGCAUCUCUAGCAGGGAGGUGGGAUCCUACCGGCAACUUGAUCCCAGCGGGAGAGCUGGCGGGAGGCUGGGGCACGUGAAUCCCCGGCCCGCGUCGCGCCGGUAUCCGGUUCCUCCUUUGUCCUGGUCCUCAUCCUUCCUGGCCCCGCGGAGCGUCGCGGGAGAGGGGAGCUAACCCUCGGCUAUUGACAGGCCGUUCCUUCCGUGCCAUUUAACUCUGCCCGGCGCAGCCGCCCGGCGGCAAAGGGACGGCUCUUUAGCGGUGAAAGCCACCAGCUGCCAGCGGGAAGAGGCUGGGAUUUUUCCAUCUCGGCGCGGAGGGUGCAGCUGGGCGAGCGGGGCCAGCCAGCUCCCUUCCCGCGUGCCGGGAAAAGCAGGUCAGCGCGGAGCCCGGGAGCAGGCGAGCAGCUCGCGGGCCGAACCUCGCAGCAUCCCGCCGCCCGCCGCUGCCGAGCACCAUCCCCGGCCCGGACUGCUCCGUGCCUCGCUUUCCCGGGCAGGCGGGGAGGACAGCAAUCCGCCCGCCCCCUCCGGGAGCCGCUGGAGCUAAGGGGGGGGGGGGGGGGGGGCGGCGGGGGCCGGCGGCUGGGGCGGCAGCACGCGAGGAUGCCUGGGAUCUAUUCCCGGCUCCGUGUGGGAGAUGGCUGCCUAGUGACAGGAGCUGCCGAGCUCCGUUUCUGGGUCCUCGCCCUCGAGCGCCGCGCAAGGCCCUGCGCUGCCUCGGUUUCCCCCUUGGCUCGAAGGAUGCUCGUGGGCAAGGCGCCCCGCGGGAGGGCUGGGGGC